rnacentral:misc_RNA from 1 species
UUUAAAACUAGAUUGUUGCUC